rnacentral:rRNA from 1 species
UACGUAGGGUGCGAGCGUUAAUCGGAAUUACUGGGCGUAAAGCGUGCGCAAGCGGUUCGCUGUGUCCGAUGUGAAAGCCCCGGGCUCAACCUGGGAAUGGCAUUGGAACUGGCGGGCUUGAGUGCGGCAGAGGGGGGUGGAAUUCCGCGUGUAGCAGUGAAAUGCGUAGAGAUGCGGAGGAACACCGAUGGCGAAGGCAGCCCCCUGGGUCGACACUGACGCUCAGGCACGAAAGCGUGGGGAGCAAACAGG